AAUAGCGGAGGAAAAGAAACCAACAGGGAUUGCCUUAGUAGCGGCGAGUGAAGCGGCAAAAGCUCAAAUUUGAAAUCUGGCACUUUCAGUGUCCGAGUUGUAAUUUGAAGAAGGUAUCUUUGGGUCUGGCUCUUGUCUAUGUUUCUUGGAACAGAACGUCACAGAGGGUGAGAAUCCCGUGCGAUGAGAUGUCCCAGACCUAUGUAAAGUUCCUUCGAAGAGUCGAGUUGUUUGGGAAUGCAGCUCUAAGUGGGUGGUAAAUUCCAUCUAAAGCUAAAUAUUGGCGAGAGACCGAUAGCGAACAAGUACAGUGAUGGAAAGAUGAAAAGAACUUUGAAAAGAGAGUGAAAAAGUACGUGAAAUUGUUGAAAGGGAAGGGCUUGAGAUCAGACUUGGUAUUUUGUAUGUUACUCUCUCGGGGGUGGCCUCUACAGUUUACCGGGCCAGCAUCAGUUUGGGCGGUAGGACAAUUGCAAAGAAAUGUGGCACUGCCUCGGUAGUGUGUUAUAGUCUUUGUCGAUACUGCCAGCCUAGACUGAGGACUGCGGCUUCGGCCUAGGAUGUUGGCAUAAUGAUCUUAAGUCGCCCGUCUUGAACCACGGACCCUC
rnacentral:rRNA from 1 species